rnacentral:rRNA from 1 species
AGUCGUGCGAGAAAGUAUCCUCGGAUAUGAGUAGAGCGGCGGACGGGUGAGUAACGCGUAGGAAUCUACCUAGUAGAAGGGGAUAGCCCGAGGAAACUCGGAUUAAUACCGUAUACCUCCUUAGGGAGAAAGAGGACCUCUCUUGAUGCUCUCGCUAUUAGAUGAGCCUGCGUAAGAUUAGCUUGUUGGUGAGGUAAUGGCUCACCAAGGCUACGAUCUUUAGCUGGUCUGAGAGGACGACCAGCCACAUUGGGACUGAGACACGGCCCAGACUCCUACGGGAGGCAGCAGUGGGGAAUAUUGGACAAUGGGCGCAAGCCUGAUCCAGCCAUACCGCGUGUGUGAAGAAGGCCUUCGGGUUGUAAAGCACUUUAAGCAGGGAGAAAAAGCUAUAAGUUAAUACCUUAUAGCCCUGAUGUUACCUGCAGAAUAAGCACCGGCUAAUUCCGUGCCAGCAGCCGCGGUAAUACGGAAGGUGCAAGCGUUAAUCGGAAUUACUGGGCGUAAAGCGCGCGUAGGUGGUUUGUUAAGUUGGAUGUGAAAGCCCUGGGCUCAACCUAGGAACUGCAUCCAAAACUAACUCACUAGAGUACGAUAGAGGGAGGUAGAAUUCAUAGUGUAGCGGUGGAAUGCGUAGAUAUUAUGAAGAAUACCAGUGGCGAAGGCGGCCUCCUGGAUCUGUACUGACACUGAGGUGUGAAAGCGUGGGUAGCGAACAGGAUUAGAUACCCUGGUAGUCCACGCCGUAAACGAUGACAACUAGCUGUUGGGAAACAAAGUUUCUCAGUGGCGCAGCUAACGUUUUAAGUUGUCCGCCUGGGGAGUACGGCCGC